GUUCCAGGUGAGUGGUAAUUAUAGCACAUGGCAUAUAUAUAUAUAUAUAUAAAAACGUGAUGAAGGAACGGAACGCAUGGUGGGAUCCCGCACGGUUAUACUUAUAUAAAUAUAUAACAAUUAGUUAUAGUCCAGCAGUAAUUAUGAUCAAUCCAAUUUGAUCAAAGAAAAAAAAAAUAAAUCGAUUUCUAGAGUAGUUAUAACAGAUCAAGGAAAGAAAAUAAAAUUAGAUUCACCUAUUAUUGAACAAAGAGCGAGAAUUUUUACUUUGAAAACAGAAUCGAAAGUGAUGAAUUGAGAAAUAAAAUUUUAAGAAUUAUCUGCGCACAUCAGAUUAUUUAAUACAUAUAUGUAUAACAAUAAAUAAAAGAUUAUGAAAAUACCUGUUGAGAGUAUUUGGUAGGAAAAGGAGGUGACAAACAGGUUUUGAGUGCAAAGUUUAGCAGAAGAGAUGUUUAGGGUAUAUAUAUAUUUCAAGAGUUUAUUAGGUGUAGAAUGGGAUAAGAGUUAUUAUUGAACUGGGUUGUUCAGAUUGCAGAUAUAUAUUUAAUUUCAAAAAUAAUAUAUAUAUCUAAAAAUAAAUAAGCAGACCAUCUAAUAAAAUAUAUAUAUUUUUUAUAAAUAUAUUAAAUUAUUGUUAGCUAAUUAAAAUAAAAUAAUAAUAAAUAAUAAAUGUAUAUAGGUUUUCACAUAAUCUAAAGCACUGACUUAAUCACGGUUUUAGUCCUUCACAUGGUGCAGUUGUCAAUAAUAAUCUUAUCUUUCAAAUACACUUGUGAUAAAUUUCUUUUUCUUUUGACACUUGCACUGCCAUCUUUCCACAUUUUUACAAGCCCAAAUUAUUAUGUUGCUAAUUCAUCAGAAUUCAAACAUGUGAGUGCAAUACUUGAGUUUGGCAGGUAUUGGAGAGAACCAAUCCAUUCAUCCAAUGUUUUGUGCAUGUGAUGUUCCACCGCAAAAGAAGACAUAUGUGUGUCACAUUAAGAAACUAGAUUUAAUUUGUUUGCCUUGUUUACUUGUAAAACUUCUGAUCACAUUGUAAUUUAUUUCUCCCUAUUUUGUUUCAGGAGCUGGACUACCUUGUUGGGG
rnacentral:misc_RNA from 1 species